UUGUACCUGGAAAAUCUAAAAAAAAUGUUAAUAUUGGCCAAAGUCGUGGAAAACCUGGAAAAGUCAGGGAACUAUUUUUUUACUUUAGAUAGUCAUGGAAAAGUCAGUUAUUCUAGUUAAGAAGUUACUCGUUUCACAAUUGAACGCUGUAUUUUGAAAACAUAAGUCACACUUUUUUUUAAAGUGAGAUUAUUUGAAAAUAUUAUUUUUUUUUUUAGGAAAAGAUAAAAUAAAGAUUUUUUUUUAGAUAAAAGAAACAAUUUUUAGAUAAAAUAGAAAUAAAUUUUUUACAGGAGAAAUGUUUUUCACUCUCUUGUAAAAUUUUAGUUUUGUGACUUGUCACAUUUUAAAAUUACAGCGCUCAAUUAAGCUAUUAUGUUUUUUUUUUGGUGCUACACAUUUAUUUUUUUUGAAACUUAUGUUUUUCUUAGUAUUCAUUCUUAGUCAUCUUUAAUAAUAAGACCCAUACUAACAUGUAUAAUAAGAUCCAUACUAAUAUCUAACUUAACUUAUAGCUAAGUUUUAUAAGUUUUAUCAUUCAAAGAAUGUACAAUCUUCGCAUUUCCAUUACAGUCGAUAGUAAUUGUAAACAUUUUGUAAAAACUAUUUUUAAAAAUGAUCAGGGAAAUUCAUCUGAUUUUUCAAAAAAGUCAUUGAAUUUUAUAUAAAUAGUUGACUAUGAACCUUGUUGGAGAAACAUUGAUUUAAUAUGAAUUUUUUUGUUUUACUGGGCAAUCUGUAUCUCAAACAUUAAUGAGAAUUGUUUUGUGUUAGUACCAGAAAUUGAAUGCACACCUGCAAAUUUCAUAAUUCAUAAAUAUAUUAUGAAUCCAUAUAUUUUUAUCAUUAAAAAUUUGUUCCUCUGUCUUUAAUUUUAUCUGUUUUAUUAGUGAUUGUUGUAUUUACUUUCAUAAAUUCUAAAUAUAGUUUGUAAUUAAUUGUAUAGUUUCUUAAUAAUAUAAUUAACUUUAUUGUUUCAAGAUAAAGUUGUAUCCUUGAAAGAUAUGCUGGUAUUAUUGGCACAAUGGGCAAGCAUUGAAGUGCAACUUGGUGAACUACAAAACACAUCAACUUCAGUUAUAAAAAUUUGUGUAACAAAGGUAUGGUAAUUAUUUUAUUGCCUGAAAGAGUGCCAUUGCCAUUAAAAGCAGUGAAGAAUUCAAGUACUCUGGAAGAAAAAAGAUAAGAAAACACUUAAGUAAAUGAUUAAUUAUUUGGCACAAAUUGGAGAUUGUAUAUGUUAUUUAAAAUGUUUUUUUAAAUGGCCUAGCUGUAAAAUUUAACUAUGCAGGGGGAGGACAAAAAGUUAGAAUAAGAAAAAUGUUGAUUGCAUAUGUUGCUAAUGGUAAGUGGUUUAGAAAAGUUUAUUUUUUCAGUUUUAAUUUUGUAUUACAGAGAUACUUUCAAUUUUUUAUGUUUCUUUGGUGCAUAAUUAAACAAACAACUAUUUUCUUUGUGUGAAGUCAAAUAAGCAUGGCUUAUGCAUGUGAUAAAGAUAGCCGAAGAAAAAAUAAUAAUCGUGGGCACCAAAUCAUUAGCUAAACACGAUUCAAUAACAAGUAGCUCAGCCAAUAUCGAAAUUACUCUAUAAAUUUUAUAGUGAAUUUUUUAUUUAAAACUCAAUGUGUCAGUUUUUGGUUUAUGUUUAGUGUUUGUGAUAUGUAUAUUUAACCGAGAAAUUAUGUUAAAUAAAUAGAUUUUUAUACUUGUAUCA
rnacentral:lncRNA from 1 species